rfam:Camelus ferus unplaced genomic scaffold scaffold1073, whole genome shotgun sequence.
GUGGGAAUAGCUCAGGGUUACAGUGCAUGCUUACCAUGCAUGAGAUCCUGGGUUCAAUCCCCAGUGUCUCCA